rnacentral:rRNA from 1 species
AUUGAACGCUGGCGGCAUGCUUUACACAUGCAAGUCGAACGGUAACAGGCCGCAAGGUGCUGACGAGUGGCGAACGGGUGAGUAAUGCAUCGGAACGUGCCCAGUCGUGGGGGAUAACGCAGCGAAAGCUGCGCUAAUACCGCAUACGAUCUAUGGAUGAAAGCGGGGGACCGUAAGGCCUCGCGCGAUUGGAGCGGCCGAUGUCAGAUUAGGUAGUUGGUGGGGUAAAGGCUCACCAAGCCGACGAUCUGUAGCUGGUCUGAGAGGACGACCAGCCACACUGGGACUGAGACACGGCCCAGACUCCUACGGGAGGCAGCAGUGGGGAAUUUUGGACAAUGGGCGCAAGCCUGAUCCAGCAAUGCCGCGUGCAGGAAGAAGGCCUUCGGGUUGUAAACUGCUUUUGUACGGAACGAAAAGGCUCUGGUUAAUACCUGGGGCUCAUGACGGUACCGUAAGAAUAAGCACCGGCUAACUACGUGCCAGCAGCCGCAGUAACAC